CCCGGGCCUUGUACACACCGCCCGUCACAUCACGAAGGUCGGUUGCACUAGAAGUCGGUGGGCUAACCCGCAAGGGAGGCAGCCGCCUAAAGUGUGGUCGGUAAUUGGGGUG
rnacentral:rRNA from 1 species